GCCUAAGCUUGUGGGAUAGCUCAGUCGGUAGAGCAUGUGACUCUUAAUCCCGGGGUCAUGGGUUCAAGCCCCCCCCGCUGGGCA